AAAUGCGAUAAUUAAUGUGAAUUGCAGAAUUCAGUGAAUCAUCGAGUCUUUGAACGCACAUUGCGCCCCCUGGUAUUCCGGGGGGCAUGCCUGUCCGAGCGUCAUUGCUGCCCUCAAGCACGGCUUGUGUGUUGGGCUUCCGUCCCUGGCAACGGGGACGGGCCCAAAAGGCAGUGGCGGCACCAUGUCUGGACCUCGAGCGUAUGGGGCUUUGUCACCCGCUCCCGUAGGUCCAGCUGGCAGCUAGCCUCGCAACCAAUCUUUUUAACCAGGUUGACCUCGGAUCAGGUAGGGAUACCCGCUGAACUUAAGC
rnacentral:misc_RNA from 1 species